CUCUGCUUUCCAGAAGAUGAAGGAGGUAUGGGGUUUUGUAAUUUACAUUUUGUUAAUCUUUUAAUGUUGGCUGAACAAGUUUGGAGGAUCCUGGAGUUUCCUGACUCUUUAAGUGCGCAAGUGCUAUGAGCGAAGUACUUUCCAGAUGGAAACCUGCUAGCUGUCGGCCAUCCAAACAUUCAAGAGGGAUGCAUUUGUAGAAUUCGAAAUGUUGAGCACAUUAAUAUUUGGAAAGAUGCAGGGGUCCCCUCAAGUCCAAACCAUAAGAUCAUCUCUCACAGAGGUGGUGCACUCAUCAAAAGUUAG
rnacentral:rRNA from 1 species